rnacentral:rRNA from 1 species
UGGGGAAUCUUGGACAAUGGGGGCAGCCCUGAUCCAGCGAUGCCGCGUGGGUGAAGAAGGCCUUCGGGUUGUAAAGCCCUUUAGGUUGGGAAGAAGGAUAUAUUCGGAAUAUGGAUAUAUUUUGACUGUACUGACAGAAUAAGCACCGGCAAACUCUGUGCCAGCAGCCGCGGUAAUACAGAGGGUGCGAGCGUUAAUCGGAGUUACUGGGCGUAAAGGGCGCGUAGGCGGUUAGAAAAGACUGAUGUGAAAGCCCCGGGCUUAACCUGGGAAGUGCAUUGGUAACUGACUGACUGGAGUAUGAGAGAGGGUGGCGGAAUUUCCGGUGUAGCGGUGAAAUGCGUAGAGAUCGGAAGGAACGUCGAUGGCGAAGGCAGCCACCUGGCUUAAUACUGACGCUGAGGCGCGAAAGCGUGGGUAGCGAACAGG